rnacentral:rRNA from 1 species
GACGUAGGGGGCGAGCGUUGUCCGGAUUUAUUGGGCGUAAAGAGCUCGUAGGCGGCUCGUUGCGUCGGCUGUGAAAACCCGCAGCUCAACUGUGGGCUUGCAGCCGAUACGGGCGGGCUGGAGUUCGGUAGGGGAGACUGGAAUUCCUGGUGUAGCGGUGAAAUGCGCAGAUAUCAGGAGGAACACCGGUGGCGAAGGCGGGUCUCUGGGCCGGAACUGACGCUAAGGAGCGAAAGCGUGGGGAGCGAACAGG